AGCUCAAUUGUUGCAAAGGUGAAUUUUGUUGGCAUUCAAACAAAAUUCACCUUUGCAACAAUUGAGCU